rnacentral:rRNA from 1 species
GACGAACGCUGGCGGCGUGCCUAAUACAUGCAAGUAGAACGCUGAAGGAGGAGCUUGCUCUUCUGGAUGAGUUGCGAACGGGUGAGUAACGCGUAGGUAACCUGCCUGGUAGCGGGGGAUAACUAUUGGAAACGAUAGCUAAUACCGCAUAACAGUAGAUGUUGCAUGACAUUUACUUAAAAGGUGCAAUUGCAUCACUACCAGAGGGACCUGCGUUGUAUUAGCUAGUUGGUGGGGUAACGGCUCACCAAGGCGACGAUACAUAGCCGACCUGAGAGGGUGAUCGGCCACCCUGGGACUGAGUCACGGCCCCGACUCCUACGGGAGGCAGCAGUAGGGAAUCUUCGGCAAUGGACGGAAGUCUGACCGAGCAACGCCGCGUGAGUGAAGAAGGUUUUCGGAUCGUAAAGCUCUGUUGUAAGAGAAGAACGAGUGUGAGAGUGGAAAGUUCACACUGUGACGGUAUCUUACCAGAAAGGGACGGCUAACUACGUG